rnacentral:rRNA from 1 species
UACGGAGGGGGCUAGCGUUGUUCGGAAUUACUGGGCGUAAAGCGCACGUAGGCGGCUUUGUAAGUUAGAGGUGAAAGCCCGGGGCUCAACUCCGGAACUGCCUUUAAGACUGCAUCGCUUGAAUCAUGGAGAGGUUAGUGGAAUUCCGAGUGUAGAGGUGAAAUUCGUAGAUAUUCGAAAGAACACCAGUGGCGAAGGCGACUAACUGGACAUGUAUUGACGCUGAGGUGCGAAAGCGUGGGGAGCAAACAGG